AGCAGCCGCGGUAAUUCCAGCUCCAAUAGCGUAUAUUAAAGUUGUUGCAGUUAAAAAGCUCGUAGUUGAAUUUCGGGAUCAAUAUGUUGGUCGUGCCUUGGUACGUACUGGCAUUAUCGAUUCCUACCUUCUGAAGAACCUCGAUGUCAUUAAUUUGGUGUCUUGGGGAAUCAGGACUGUUACUUUGAAAAAAUUAGAGUGUUUAAAGCAGGCUCGCGCUUGAAUACAUUAGCAUGGAAUAAUGAAAUAGGACGUUUGAUUCUAUUUUGUUGGUUUCUAGGAUCGACGUAAUGAUUAAUAGGGAUAGUUGGGGGCAUUAGUAUUCAAUUGUCAGAGGUGAAAUUCUUGGAUUUAUUGAAGACUAACUACUGCGAAAGCAUUUGCCAAGGAUGUUUUCAUUAAUCAAGAACGAAAGUUAGGGGAUCGAAGACGAUCAGAUACCAUCGUAGU
rnacentral:rRNA from 1 species